GAGUGAAAGGUAUUCAGGAGGGAGAGGACAACGUCGCCCCGCUGGACAAUUUACUGCCCUUCUCUGGGAAUUCCACAUGAUCCAGGUAUUUCCUCAGCGAUGCUUCCCACCCACAGUCAGACAUGAUCCGACCUGCGGCGGUGCUGACUUGGUGGGUCUCUGCCUGCGCUGGCGUUGUGAACAAACACUAGCUCUCAUCCAGAACAUCAAACAGGGCAGGGCUUCAGGAGGAACCAGGGGAGAGGUUGGCAAAUAUCACUGAUGGUUCCCACAGGAUGACACCGGCACCUCCAGGGUCGGCACUUCAAAGGUGCUCGCCCACCCUGAGAGGCUCCGUGCACCUCAGCAUCCAGCAGCAGCACAAUGAUCACAGGAGCUGUGAGAAGAUUAUCAAAGUAGGGUGAAGCUGUGUGGGUACAGGAUGACAUGCAAAGAUCCAAAACCAUCCUCAAUUUAAGGAACUAAAUUCAAUUAAAAAAGAUUUGUAGCAUCAUGUUCAUGCCGCUAAGCAUUUUUAAACAAAAGCUUAUUUAUAACUUUAAAAAGUACCCCUAGAGGGCAUUUAUGUACUAGCAGAAGUAGCUUGUGUAGCUUCCAAACAUUUGUCUUUGGAGCAAAAUCUGUCAUUUCUUUUUUGUUGGCUCA